rnacentral:rRNA from 1 species
GAUGAACGCUAGCGGCAGGCUUAAUACAUGCAAGUCGAGGGACAGCACAGGUAGCAAUACUGGGUGGUAACCGGCAAACGGGUGCGGAACACGUACACAACCUUCCUUUAAGUGGGGGAUAGCCCAGAGAAAUUUGGAUUAAUACGCCGUAAUAUAGUUGAAUGGCAUCAUUUGAUUAUUAUAGCUACGGCGCUUAAUGAUGGGUGUGCGGCUGAUUAGAUAGUUGGCGGGGUAACGGCCCACCAAGUCUACGAUCAGUAGCUGAUGUGAGAGCAGAAUAAGCCACACGGGCACUGAGACACGGGCCCGACUCCUACGGGAGGCAGCAGUAAGGAAUAUUGGUCAAUGAACGCAAGUCUGAACCAGCCAUGCCGCGUGAAGGAUUAAGGUCCUCUGGAUUGUAAACUUCUUUUAUUUGGGACGAAAAAGGGCCUUUCUAGGUCAACUGACGGUACCAGAUGAAUAAGCACCGGCUAACUCCGUGCCAGCCGCCGCCGUAACAC